rnacentral:rRNA from 1 species
CCAGACUCCUACGGGAGGCAGCAGUGGGGAAUAUUGCACAAUGGGGGAAACCCUGAUGCAGCGACGCCGCGUGAGUGAAGAAGUAUUUCGGUAUGUAAAGCUCUAUCAGCAGGGAAGAAAAUGACGGUACCUGACUAAGAAGCCCCGGCUAACUACGUGCCAGCAGCCGCGGUAAUACGUAGGGGGCAAGCGUUAUCCGGAUUUACUGGGUGUAAAGGGAGCGUGGACGGCCAGACAAGUCAGAGGUGAAAGCCCAGGGCUCAACCCUGGGACUGCUUUUGAAACUGCCGGGCUGGAGUGCAGGAGAGGUAAGCGGAAUUCCUAGUGUAGCGGUGAAAUGCGUAGAUAUUAGGAGGAACAUCAGUGGCGAAGGCGACUAUCUGGCACAUAACUGACGCUGAGGAGCGAAAGCGUGGGUAGCAAACAGGAUUAGAUACCCUAGUAC